CGUUUGUAAUACAAAAUGACUGAAAAUUGCAAAUUUCGCAAGGCUAGGCCUAUUAUCCGCAUUUUACAACAUUUCGCAACGAAACUUUGGAAUAUUACUAAUUUUGUGAUGCUCUUUCAAGUGAUGAAAUUUUUGUCUACAAUCUUUGACAAUAUAGAUUGGGACAAUCUAGUUUUCACAUGCAUUCGGUUGUAAUAUACCAUUUGCUGAUACAUAUUUUCCACCCUCCCUCCCCCCACCCGUUUCAAUGUUGGCGCCGCGCAUCCAGACAUCAGAUUUUUGUUGGCCCAACAUUGAACUGGGGGAACGGGGGGCGCUAUUCCUUUCAAAAUAUAUGAAAUUACAGCAGCUGUCCCAUAGUUUCUGGCAAAGAUUGUCUUGGUGGUGAUCAAUUGUGUUUGGAAUUUGGUAAUUAAACGUUUUAGUUUUAAGUUUAUACCGCCCAAUUACAUAUAUUCCAGUAUCGAAGCAUAUGUGGGCAAGUUUUGGUAGUUUUAGAUACUAUCCAUUCAUUCCGGGGGGGGGUUGUGUUAUUUUUAACACUUUACAUACGAAUACAGGUACGUGUGCUACUAGCUAUAAUGCUUAAUAAGCACAUUUAUAUUCACGUCUAAUAUCAUCAUAGCUCUCUUCCUUGUGAAAAAUCCGCGGAAAUUUACUCAAAAGUUACUUGCUGUCUUUGGAAUAAUGCAAAAGACCAUAAUUACGACGAUCCUGGAACAGAACUAUUCAGAAAUAAUCGGUUUGUGAGUGGGGUAGGUUUAAACUCAUCUCACAACAUAUUAAACUGCGGGGAAAGACAAAUAAAUAUGCAUUGUUUUCGCCUUUUACAAACUUAUACUUGAGAACUGUGGCCGUUUCGAAGCUAAAUUACGUUUACAGUAUAAGAUUUAUAGCACAGUUCAGUAACGCAGCCAGUAGUCAAAUUUCAUACGUCUCAUAUUACACGAUGCUCACUAACGAAUCUCGGUCUAAAACGCUGAUUUUCGUUACUAUAAAUUUUACUUAUCUUACAUUUUAUAUACAUAUGGG